GGGUCAAAAUGAACGAAACCGGGUUCAACCGGGUAAAACCCGGAAACCGGCGAACCGGUUAAUGACCCCGGUUUUUGUCAAAAAAAGUAUAUGGUGGACGGAUCUCGGCCGUAAAGGCUGUUGUGUGGGCGGAUCUGGGCGGCGGUGGGUUGAAUCCGGUGGUCGGAGAUUGGAGGUGGACGGAUCUCGGUUGUAAAGACUAUAUUAGGUGGGCGAAUCUGGGCGGUGGUGGGCUGAAUUC
rnacentral:lncRNA from 1 species